rnacentral:rRNA from 1 species
GAUGAACGCNGGCGGCGUGCCUAAUACAUGCAAGUAGAACGCUGAAGCUUGGUGCUUGCACCGAGCGGAUGAGUUGCGAACGGGUGAGUAACGCGUAGGUAACCUGCCUCUUAGCGGGGGAUAACUAUUGGAAACGAUAGCUAAUACCGCAUAAAAGUCGACAUCGCAUGAUGUUGACUUGAAAGGUGCAAUUGCAUCACUAAGAGAUGGACCUGCGUUGUAUUAGCUAGUUGGUGAGGUAACGGCUCACCAAGGCGACGAUACAUAGCCGACCUGAGAGGGUGAUCGGCCACACUGGGACUGAGACACGGCCCAGACUCCUACGGGAGGCAGCAGUAGGGAAUCUUCGGCAAUGGGGGCAACCCUGACCGAGCAACGCCGCGUGAGUGAAGAAGGUUUUCGGAUCGUAAAGCUCUGUUGUAAGAGAAGAACGAGUGUGAGAGUGGAAAGUUCACACNGNGACGG